GCAAGUCGAACGGUAACAGGAAGCAGCUUGCUGCUUCGCUGACGAGUGGCGGACGGGUGAGUAAUGUCUGGGAAACUGCCUGAUGGAGGGGGAUAACUACUGGAAACGGUAGCUAAUACCGCAUAACGUCGCAAGACCAAAGAGGGGGACCUUCGGGCCUCUUGCCAUCGGAUGUGCCCAGAUGGGAUUAGCUAGUAGGUGGGGUAACGGCUCACCUAGGCGACGAUCCCUAGCUGGUCUGAGAGGAUGACCAGCCACACUGGAACUGAGACACGGUCCAGACUCCUACGGGAGGCAGCAGUGGGGAAUAUUGCACAAUGGGCGCAAGCCUGAUGCAGCCAUGCCGCGUGUAUGAAGAAGGCCUUCGGGUUGUAAAGUACUUUCAGCGGGGAGGAAGGCGAUAAGGUUAAUAACCUUGUCGAUUGACGUUACCCGCAGAAGAAGCACCGGCUAACUCCGUGCCAGCAGCCGCGGUAAUACGGAGGGUGCAAGCGUUAAUCGGAAUUACUGGGCGUAAAGCGCACGCAGGCGGUCCGUCAAGUCGGAUGUGAAAUCCCCGGGCUCAACCUGGGAACUGCAUUCGAAACUGGCCGGCUAGAGUCUUGUAGAGGGGGGUAGAAUUCCAGGUGUAGCGGUGAAAUGCGUAGAGAUCUGGAGGAAUACCGGUGGCGAAGGCGGCCCCCC
rnacentral:rRNA from 1 species